rnacentral:lncRNA from 1 species
CAGAAAUGUGGCUCAAGGAGCAUAUCUCUGAGGAUGGGGCCGGAUAGUGUCUUCGCUGACAGGAUAGGAAUUCUGGAGUUCUCCGCUCUGGGGACGGAGGAGGAGCAAGAAUGCUCCGAUCCACGCCGCUAAGAAAGUCAAACCCGAAGUUCUCCCACCCUCCGCAGAACACCCGAUACUCACGUUCGCCCUCUUGGCCGCUUGCAUCGCCAUCUUGGCGGGCUGAUGAAGUUACCGUAGCAGAUACUGAAAUUCCUCCGGAGCUCGCUCGGCUUCGGGGGUUACACCGCGUUAGAUGCAGGACAUCAACAUCCAGGACCCGCCGGAAGCUGUUACAGCGGAAUAGCGCCGUCUUACGCUGAGACGCGCUGACGUAGCAGCCCCCUUCGAAUAGACUCCGGGGUAAAACCGAGCCUGAGCGAGACUCGAGGCCGGAAGAUGGAAAGGCGAGAGUCCAAGACACUUCCGGGCUCUGUACCGUAAAGGGCGGGGCGUAGCCUCCAAAAGGCGAGAUGUUCCGGUCGGGGAGGCCCUGAGCAGAGGAACCCGGGUGGAGAGGGCGGGGCCUGAGGAGGGCGGAGAGCUGGGGCGGGUCUCAGCUGCUCCAAGCUUUUCUGCCAUUUGAAGCUUCUUCUGGGAGCCAGCUGUGACCAGAGGAAUAGCUCCAGCCAUCCGGGUGAGUUGGAUAGCAGCUGUGCCCACACCACUCAGUCCUGCAUGGAUUAGCACAUAGUCUCCAGCCUGAACAUUUCCUGUGACAGAAAGUACAGGGUUCUCUUUACUUUGCAACUGCUACACAUUCCCCACACAGGCAUAUUCUAUCAA